rnacentral:rRNA from 1 species
UACAGAGGGUGCAAGCGUUAAUCGGAAUUACUGGGCGUAAAGCGUGCGUAGACGGUUGCGUAAGUCAGAUGUGAAAGCCCCGGGCUCAACCUGGGAAUUGCAUUUGAGACUGCGUAGCUAGGGUGCGGAAGAGGGAAGCGGAAUUUCCGGUGUAGCGGUGAAAUGCGUAGAUAUGACAUAGAACACCAAUUGCGAAGGCAGCUAACUACGCGAUAAUUGACGCUGAUGCACGAAAGCGUGGGGAUCAAACAGG